rnacentral:rRNA from 1 species
GACGAACGCUGGCGGCGUGCUUAACACAUGCAAGUCGAACGGAAAGGCCCUGCUUUUGUGGGGUGCCCGAGUGGCGAACGGGUGAGUAAAACGUGAGUAACAUGUACUUGACUGUGGGAUAACUUCAGGAAACUGGGGCUAAUACAGGAUAGGAGAUCCUGCUGCAUGGUGGGGGUUGGUAAGUUUCGGCCGUUUGGGCUGGAAUCGAGGCUUAUCAGCUUGUUGGGGGGGUAGGGGCUUUCAAGGCCUUUGAAGGGUAGCCGGCGUUGGAGGGUGACCGGCCUCAUUGGUACUGAGAGACGGCCCAGACGCGUACGGGACGCAGCAGUGGGGAAUAUUGCACAAUGGGCGGAAGCCUGAGGCAGCAACGCCGCGUUCGUGAUGACGUCUUUCUGGUUGUAAACCGCUUUCUCCUGUGACGAGGCGGGAGUGACGGUAAUGGGUAAAGAAGCAACGGCUAACUACGUG